rfam:Triticum aestivum genome assembly, contig: Triticum_aestivum_CS42_TGACv1_scaffold_225066_3B
AUACUUACCUUGACUGGGUCUAUGAGCGAUCAAUAAGGCUCAUGGCGUAAAACAAUGGUUCGCAUUGCAUAUAGUGCGCAUUGAUUUACCCUCUCCUCUUUGUGGGAGAAUGGACGUCACAAUUUGUGUUAGAGGGGAAUACGCUCUCACGCGCCCCCCAU